CUUGAUUUUUAUCUUUUUGCAGACACUGCCAAUUUCAGAUUCUACUCUGAUAAAAAAAAUUAUCUGAUCUCGAAUUGGUUUUAAACGUUGAACUGCAGAAAGUCCACAUAUGGCUGUGUUCCAAUCUCUAAACGUAAAUAAACCAAAUUUUGGUAUUUUCCAUUCAUCUCAAAAGAAACGGAUGUCUACAGUAAUAUUAACUACAAAUAGUGAAAUAAUAAAAGAAGAAAAGCUAAAAGAACUUCUUAAAUACAGUCAGACUUGUUUCUUCUGUCUGAUCUUAUUUAUACAUUAUGAUUAUUACAGGUAGCAG